rnacentral:rRNA from 1 species
UACGGGGGGAGCAAGCGUUGUUCGGAUUUACUGGGCGUAAAGGGCGCGUAGGCGGCCUCCGCAAGUCAGUUGUGAAAUCUCCGAGCUUAACUCGGAAAGGUCAACUGAUACUGCGGGGCUAGAGUGCGGAAGGGGCAACUGGAAUUCUUGGUGUAGCGGUGAAAUGCAUAGAUAUCAGGAGGAACACCGGUGGCGAAGGCGGAUCUCUGGGCCAUAACUGACGCUGAGGAGCGAAAGCAUGGGGAGCGAACAGG